UGCAAGUCGAACGGAUCCUUCGGGAUUAGUGGCGGACGGGUGAGUAACACGUGGGAACGUGCCUUUUGGUUCGGAACAACUCAGGGAAACUUGAGCUAAUACCGAAUGUGCCCUUCGGGGGAAAGAUUUAUCGCCAUUAGAGCGGCCCGCGUCUGAUUAGCUAGUUGGUAAGGUAAUGGCUUACCAAGGCUACGAUCUGUAACCGGUCUUAGAGGACGGUCGGUCACACUGACACUGAAUAACGGGUCAGACUCCUACGGGAGGCAGCAGUCGGGAAUUUUGGGCAAUGGGCGAAAGCCUGACCCAGCAACGCCGCGUGAAGGAUGAAGUAUUUCGGUAUGUAAACUUCGAAAGAAUAGGAAGAAUAAAUGACGGUACUAUUUAUAAGGUCCGGCUAACUACGUGCCAGCAGCCGCGGUAAUACGUAGGGACCAAGCGUUGUUCGGAUUUACUGGGCGUAAAGGGCGCGUAGGCGGCUCUGUAAGUCACUUGUGAAAUCUCUGAGCUUAACUCAGAACGGCCAAGUGAUACUGCAGUGCUAGAGUGUAGAAGGGGCAAUCGGAAUUCUUGGUGUAGCGGUGAAAUGCGUAGAUAUCAAGAGGAACACCUGAGGUGAAGACGGGUUGCUGGUCUAACACUGACGCUGAGGCGCGAAAGCCAGGGGAGCAAACGGGAUUAGAUACCCGGUAGUCCUGGCCCUAAACGAUGAAUACUUGGUGUCUGGAACUAUUAAGUUCUGGGUGCCGUCGCUAACGUUUUAAGUAUUCCGCCUGGGGAGUACGCUCGCAAGAGUGAAACUCAAAGGAAUUGACGGGGACCCGCACAAGCGGUGGAACAUGUGGUUUAAUUCGACGCAACGCGAAGAACCUUACCUAGGCUAGAAUGUGAGGGAAGUCUGCGUAA
rnacentral:rRNA from 1 species